rnacentral:rRNA from 1 species
AUUGAACGCUGGCGGCAUGCUUUACACAUGCAAGUCGAGCGGCAGCGCGGGGGCAACCUUGGCGGCGAGCGGCGAACGGGUGAGUAAUGCAUCGGAACGUAUCCUGUAGUGGGGAAUAACUCACCGAAAGGUGAGCUAAUACCGCAUAAGCUCUGAGGAGGAAAGCGGGGGACCGAAAGGCCUCGCGCUGCAGGAGCGGCCGAUGUCCGAUUAGCUAGUUGGUGAGGUAAAGGCUCACCAAGGCGACGAUCGGUAGCUGGUCUGAGAGGAUGAUCAGCCACACUGGGACUGAGACACGGCCCAGACUCCUACGGGAGGCAGCAGUGGGGAAUAUUGCACAAUGGGCGAAAGCCUGAUGCAGCGACGCCGCGUGGGGGGAUGACGGUCUUCGGAUUGUAAACCCCUUUCAGUAGGGACGAAGCGCAAGUGACGGUACCUGCAGAAGAAGCACCGGCCAACUACGUGCCAGCAGCCGCGGUAAU